rnacentral:sRNA from 1 species
CAGGCUAACUACUUCAUAUAAAAAAAAUGAAAGUUUGUGAGCCUGAUCAGCCUGAGAAAAAAUUAAAAUGAAGCAAAGUAAUUAAAAACUUAAUUAAGGUUUGUCGGACUAGAGGACUUCUUUGCUUGCUGUAAAAGGGCCUUGAAAAGUGUCUUGUGCCUGUCCAAGAUCGUAAAAGAAGCAUUAAUUGUAAUCAAUGUCUGCUGGAUUUACAGUCAAUACAUGUAUAAACCGGAAUAUAUACGGGUUUGUUUCCCUCACACAAAAUGACCAGACCUAGCGGUUUUUUAUUUGUCGAUUGACUCAGAGUUUUCACUUGAAUGUCUAGAAAUCUUAAGUUUCUUUUAUCUUUGAUCAGCUUCAAGUAUUGUUGUCACUUGAAAGACAUUGUCUGUACUUCAUAAGCACAUAUGAAUUAAGACCCAAAAGAUAUACAUCCAAGAUAUAAAGGCAUUUUUUCAAUAUAAUAGCCUAUUUUUAAGGGAAAAUAUAUGAAUGUGUAGAUUUGUGUUAAAAGGUGAAUCAGCAAGUCAAACUAACUUUUUUCAUACACUAAGCAAUAGAUUUUGUAUAAUUUUCAACAUAAAAAUUCAAAUCUAUGAUAUGAACAAAUGACCUCCGAACAUAAAAGAGUAAUCUAACACCUAUAGAAUGCAUUAUCAGGUUGAUGCCCGCUCUUGCUUUUAACUUGUUUUUGUUUCACUUACCGGUAGGACAAUUAACGGAAUAUCAUCAUGUUAGAUGUUAGUACCAUUAUAAUGUUCUUGGUUUUUUUUGUUAUUGAUUGAAUGUCCUGUGGGUAUAUAUAUAAUCACCUUUCGGUAUCGCAUUACUUUUAUUUACGUAUGUAUUACUAUGUAAUAUAAAAAAGUUAUCGGUAUUUAUGGUCAAGGUGAAAACACAAGAAUAUUUUCAACUUGAUGAGUUUACAUUAUCUGCCGUGCAACUUUAACUCAUCAACAACAGC